ACAUUUAGGCUUGACCUUGUACUCUCUGCACUAGGACAUGGAGACCUGGGUAGAGACCUGGCCUGGCCUCUGUCCUGGAAAACUCCGUGCCUGCGUCUGAACGUCAGCACUCAGAUGUCUAGGGUCUGGGGCUGAGGUGGGCUUCUCUGGGGAACCGUGCUCUUCUCUGAGUAGGAUUCCAUGGCUCUCCCGGGAGAGGGGGAGGUCAGUGCUGCGGUAGGGUUUGUAGUCUGUCUCUGUGACAGGUUCAUCUUCCCUGGGGUCCUUGAGACUCCUCAGGUGGGCUGCUAAGUCACUUUAGUCGUGUCCGACUCUGUGCGACCCCAUAGACGGCAGCCUAACAGGCUCCCCCGUCCCUGGGAUUCUCCAGGCAAGAACACUGGAGUGGGUUGCCAUUUCCUUCUCCAAUGCAUGAAAGUGAAAAGUGAAAGUGAUAUUGCUCAGUCGUGACCCCAUAGACUGCAGCCCACCAGGCUCCUCUACCCAUGGGAUUUUCCAGGCAAGAGUACUAGAGUGGGGUGCCAUUGCCUUCUCCGCCUCAGGUGGGCUAACUAGUAUUUAUUCCAAUUUUUCAGCACAUUCAGGUUUAAUAGAAAGGCAGGUUCACCUGGUGAAUUGGUUCCAGGGUGCAGGGAUCAGGCAAAAAGUCAACGGGCAGCAGGUGAGGUUGCUGCUGGGCUCUCCUUCCAGUCGACUCUCUCCUCCAAAGAGGAUGGAGUUGCCCCUCGUUUCUCAGCCCAGCUCUCCUGUUUUCUCAGCACCUCAGCGGGACAAAAAAGACAGAGCCUGCCAGAACCAAGUGGACCGUCCCUACUCAGCAGAGACCAGACCUGCCCGUCGUCUCCCAGCCCUGCGUCUGGUGUGUUUUCUCAACACCUCAGUGGAACAAGAAAGGACCAAGCCUGCCAGAACCAAGGCCUUGGUGACCUGGGCUGCUGUCAUAGCCCUGAAGCCUGGGCAGGCUGGUUUCCCAAGGAUGGACUGUCAUGGGGCUGACAGAGCUGGGGAGGAUGUGCCAGCCAAUGAGCCCUGCCCCGUGGACCUGACCAGCCUCUUCCCCUCUGCAUCAGCCCACAACCUCCAGAUCCAGGAGGACCAUCCUGCAGUGAAACUACGCCUACUGCACCCAAAGGACGUGGAGCCUCUGGGCUGGAAGAGCUCUGAUAAGACCCAUGGGCUCCAUGUCUCCUGUUGGUGGGGUUCCCACCUCCAGCCUCCUUCCUUAGGAUCACCCCACCUAUGGAUGAAAGCACCUUCCCCAGAGGGGUGGUGCAAGAACUGGGAUGUGUCCAGGGGAUGGGGUAAGAAAGGAAGGGAUGGGAUACAAGCCUUGGGUGUUUCUUCUGGCACAUUCCUGACAGUCCAGGAACAGGACUUUCCCCAAGGUUCUGAUUCCCCCAGGAACCAGAGUUGGUUAUAAAGAUAUGCUCCCAUCCUGUGGCUAUUUUGCAUAGCAACAGCUUUAAAACCAAAGCUCAAGAGCACUUAAUAUUCAUAAGGCCUGAGGGGCUGUAAGUAAAAAAAUCACCUGCUCUAAAGAAAUAUUCUAGGCAAGUCAUCGGAAAAUGGAAAACUAUUAAAUAUAGGUCAGGGUUCAAGAAGUCAACUUCAAUAAGUAAGUUUAACUCACAUUGUUUAAAAAAAUCACAUGGAAAGAUGUCAGCAUCAUUAAUAUGAGAAAAAUGCAAAUCAAAACUUCAAUGAUGUAUCACCUCACACAGGUGAGAGUGGCCAUAGGCAGAAACUCUACAAACAAUAAAUGCUGGAGAGGGUGUAGAGCCAAGGGAACCCUCUCACACUGAUUCUGGGAAUGGAAAUUGGGAGUGGCCACUGUGGAGGACACGGGCCAGGUUCCUUAGCAUGAAGGUGAGAAUGAAAUUAAAUGACUCCCUAACACCAUACACAAAAAUGAACGGCAAAUAGAUUUAAAAGGUCUAAAUAAAAGGACAGAUACAAUGGAACUCCUCAGGAAAAAAAGCAGAAUGCAGUUUUGACAUGAAGUGCAGCAAGUUCUGUUUUGAUUCACCACUUAGAAUCAGGACAAAUAAAAAUAAACAAAUGGGACCUAACAGACCUUAAAAACAUUUGCAUAGCUAAGGAAACCAGGGAAUUUAUCUCCACACAAACUCAUAAAGCUCAAUAUAAAAAAUCAAUCCAAUAAAACAUUUCUAAAAAUCUAAAUACACAUUUCUCCAGAAAAGGCAGAGAGAUGGCCAUAAACUACGAGAAAAGAUUGUCAGCAUAAGUUCUUCAGUUCAGUCACUCAGUCAAGUCCAACUCUUUGUGACCCCACGGACUGCAGCACACCAGGCUUCUCUGUCCAUUACCAACUCCCAGAGCUUACUCAAACUCAUGUCCAUUGAGUCGGUGAUGCCAUCCAGCCAUUUCAUCCUGUUAGGUAGGUAGAACAGGGAAAAGGAGUCCAAAAGGGCGGUGGCUACAACACAGAAAGGGAAAAGCCCUCGAAAAUGAAACAAAAGGUCCGAGGACCGAAGUGAGGCCCUCAGGUAAAACAACACUCCAGGCUGGCCCAGUUUACAUGGGACAGGCCCAGGGACAGAUGAACAUAUAAAUAGAGGAGCCAGAGCCAGCUCUCUCUCUCUCUCUCUCUCCCAUGCCCUAGGGCGCUCUUCUCCUGGUCUCUUUAGAUCUCUUUUGCCCUCACACCUCAAAGAUGGAUUUUCCUGCUAUCUUCUAAAUAAAAUAGAGCUGUAACACUGAGCUGUAACGCUGAUUUGUCUAAGAGCUGUAACACGGUCCAUUCGAGACCUGAGAGCUAUAACACGGUCUAUCCAAGACCUGAGAGCUGCGACACGCCGAGGGGGCUUUAAUGUCCGUCACUGCAAAUCUUUGUUGUGACGAGACAAAGAACCGAGGAACAUACACUCGCGUGACAUAUACAGUGGGCUAUUACUCGGACUUGAAAAAACC
rnacentral:lncRNA from 1 species